rnacentral:rRNA from 1 species
UGCGUAGGCGGGCUAAUAAGUCAGUGGUGAAAUCUCUCGGCUCAACCGGGAAACUGCCAUUGAUACUGUUAGUCUUGAGUUCGGUUGAGGUAGGCGGAAUGUGUAAUGUAGCGGUGAAAUGCUUAGAUAUUACACAGAACACCAAUUGCGUAGUCAGCUUACUAGACCGACACUGACGCUGAGGCACGAAAGCGUGGGGAGCGAACAGGAUUAGAUACCCUGGUAGUCC